GACAGAGGUGCCAAGCGUUAGGCGGAAUCACUGGGCUUAAAGAGCGCGCAGGCGGUCGUUCAAGUCGAGUGUGAAAGCCCCCGGCUCAACUGGGGAGGGUCACUCGAUACUGAUCGACUUGAAGGCAGGAGAGGGAAGCGGAAUUCCCGGUGUAGUGGUGAAAUGCGUAGAUAUCGGGAGGAACACCAGUGGCGAAGGCGGCUUCCUGGCCUGUUCUUGACGCUGAGGCGCGAAAGCUAGGGGAGCAAACGGG
rnacentral:rRNA from 1 species